rnacentral:rRNA from 1 species
UUUAACUGAGCGUUCAGUUACUUGACGUAGACCCGAAACCGGGCGACCUACCCAUGAGCAGGAUGAAGCGAAAGUAAAAUUUCGUGGAGGUCCGAACCCACGAGCGUUGAAAAGCUCGGGGAUGACUUGUGGGUAGCGGUGAAAUUCCAAUCGAGCCCGGAGAUAGCUGGUUCUCCCCGAAAUAGCUUUAGGGCUAGCCUCAAGGUGAGAGAUACGGAGGUAGAGCACUGAAUGUCCUAGGGGGUAUUGCACCUACCGAAGACUAUCAAACUCCGAAUGCCGUCAUCUUAUACUUGGGAGUCAGACUGUGGGUGAUAAGAUUCAUAGUCGAAAGGGCAACAGCCCAGAUCGUCAGCUAAGGUCCCUAAAUGUAAGUUAAGUGGUAAAGGAUGUGGGAUUGCACAGACAACCAGGAUGUUGGCUUAGAAGCAGCCACUCAUUCAAAGAGUGCGUAAUAGCUCACUGGUCGAGUGAUCCUGCGCCGAAGAUUUCCGGGGCUAAAACUUACUACCGAAGCUACGGCAUCAGUAAUGAUGGGUAGGGGAGCUUCCCAUACGGGUUGAAGCAUGACCGUAAGGACAUGUGGACAGUAUGGGAGUGAGAAUGUUGGCAUGAGUAGCGAGAUGUGGGUGAGAAUCCCACAGGCCGUAAACCCAAGGUUUCCAGGGGAAGGUUCGUCCGCCCUGGGUUAGUCGGGACCUAAGCUGAGGCCGAAAGGCGUAGGUGAUGGACAACAGGUUGAUAUUCCUGUACUACCGAUAACCGUUUGAGAGAAGGGAUGACACAGUAGGAUAAGCUAAGCACACUGUUGGGUAUGUGUGCCCAAGCAUUGAGGCAGUCAAAGUAGGCAAAUCCGCUUUGAUAAUGCUGGGAUGUGAUGGGGAGCGAAAUUUAGUAGCGAAGUAGCUGAUUUCACACUGUCAAGAAAAGUCUCUAUCGAGGUUAAAGUUACCCGUACCGCAAACCGACACAGGUG